CACAGGGGAGUGUUUUGCCGCCCCUCUCCGAUCUCCCUUGCGCCAACACUGUGCCCUAGUUCAUCACUGCCGGCCCACUCUGCAUUUGAUUCCUUGUUGUGCUGCCAUCACCGGACAAGAGGAGGUUAGUGCAAGUGGAUUUCCAGCCACUCACCUUGUUCCAGUAGUAAACACACUUCUUGAUUGAGGAUCAAUCACGGCUGUAAAUUGAGGACUUUGACGCGAGACGAGUAUCUCGGAGUCAAAUUUGGACAUUUUCGA